GUGUCAUAUGAAAGGAGAGAAGGUUAGCAUUCCUCCUGACAAGGCUGGAAGAGGCCCUUGGGUCUAUCUUGGGUCUUGGAUACUGUCUAGCUUAAGAAAAAAACACUUAACCUCUCUGAGCUUCAAUUUUUU
ensembl:snRNA